AGCAGCCGCGGUAAUUCCAGCUCCAAUAGCGUAUAUUAAAGUCGUUGCAGUUAAAAAGCUCGUAGUUGAAUUUCGGGAUCAAUAUGUCGGUCGUGCCUUCGGUACGUACUGGUAUCAUUGGUCUCUCCUUUCUGACGAACCAUGAUGUCAUUAAUUUGGUGUUAUGGGGAGUUAGGACUGUUACUUUGAAAAAAUUAGAGUGUUUAAAGCAGGCUUUAGCUUGAAUACAUUAGCAUGGAAUAAUGAAAUAGGACGUUCGAACCUAUUUUGUUGGUUUCUAGGAUCAACGUAAUGAUUAAUAGGGAUAGUUGGGGGCAUUAGUAUUCAAUUGUCAGAGGUGAAAUUCUUGGAUUUAUUGAAGACUAACUACUGCGAAAGCAUUUGCCAAGGAUGUUUUCAUUAAUCAAGAACGAAAGUUAGGGGAUCGAAGACGAUCAGAUACCGUCGUAGUCUUAACCAUAAACUAUGCCGACUAGGGAUCGGAUGAUGUUAAUUUUUUAAUGACUCA
rnacentral:rRNA from 1 species